UACAGAGGGUGCAAGCGUUAAUCGGAAUUAUUGGGCGUAAAGCGCACGUAGGUGGGCUGAUAAGUUGGAUGUGAAAGCCCCGGGCUCAACCUGGGAAUUGCAUUCAAGACUGUUAGUCUAGAGUAUGGGAGAGGGAAGUGGAAUUUCUGGUGUAGCGGUGAAAUGCGUAGAUAUCAGAAGGAACAUCAGUGGCGAAGGCGACUUCCUGGCCUAAUACUGACACUAAGGUGCGAAAGCGUGGGGAGCAAACAGG
rnacentral:rRNA from 1 species